UUUCGGAGCGUAAACUCCUUUUAUCAGGAAAGAAUAAUGACGGUACCUGAUGAAUAAGCACCGGCUAACUCCGUGCCAGCAGCCGCGGUAAUACGGGGGGUGCAAGCGUUACUCGGAAUCACUGGGCGUAAAGGACGCGUAGGCGGAUUAUCAAGUCUUUUGUGAAAUCUAGUGGCUUAACCACUAAACUGCUUAGGAAACUGAUAGUCUAGAGUAGGGGAGAGGUAGAUGGAAUUCUUGGUGUAGGGGUAAAAUCCGUAGAGAUCAAGAAGAAUACCCAUUGCGAAAGCGAUCUGCUGGAACCUAACUGACGCUGAGGCGUGAAAGCGUGGGUAGCAAACAGGAUUAGAUACCCUGGUAGUCCACGCCCUAAACGAUGUAUACUAGUUGUUGCUUUGCUAGUCAAGGCAGUAAUGCAGCUAACGCAUUAAGUAUACCGCCUGGGGAGUACGGUCGCAAGAUUAAAACUCAAAGGAAUAGACGGGGACCCGCACAAGCGGUGGAGCAUGUGGUUUAAUUCGAAGAUACGCGAAGAACCUUACCUGGACUUGACAUCCUAAAAACAUCUAAGAGAUUAGAAAGUGCUAGUUUACUAGAAUUUAGUGACAGGUGCUGCACGGCUGUCGUCAGCUCGUGUCGUGAGAUGUUGGGUUAAGUCCCGCAACGAGCGCAACCCACGUGUUUAGUUGCUAACAGCUCGGCUGAGCACUCUAAACAGACUGCCUUCGUAAGGAGGAGGAAGGUGUGGACGACGUCAAGUCAUCAUGGCCCUUAUGUCCAGGGCGACACACGUGCCUACAAUG
rnacentral:rRNA from 1 species